rnacentral:rRNA from 1 species
GACGAACGCUGGCGGCGUGCUUAACACAUGCAAGUCGAGCGGUAAGGCCCUUUCGGGGGGUACACGAGCGGCGAACGGGUGAGUAACACGUGGGUGACCUGCCCUCAGCUCUGGGAUAAGCCUGGGAAACCGGGUCUAAUACUGGAUAUGACUCCAUGACGCAUGUUGUGGGGGUGGAAAGCCUUGUGCGGCUGAGGAUGGGCCCGCGGCCUAUCAGCUUGUUGGUGGGGUGAUGGCCUACCAAGGCGACGACGGGUAGCCGGCCUGAGAGGGCGACCGGCCACACUGGGACUGAGACACGGCCCAGACUCCUACGGGAGGCAGCAGUGGGGAAUCUUGCGCAAUGGGCGAAAGCCUGACGCAGCGACGCCGCGUGAGGGAU